CCUACGGGUGGCAGCAGUGGGGAAUAUUGGACAAUGGGCGAAAGCCUGAUCCAGCCAUGCCGCGUGUGUGAAGAAGGCCUUCGGGUUGUAAAGCACUUUCAGUGGGGAAGAAAGCCUUGGGGCUAAUACCCUCGAGGAAGGACAUCACCUACAGAAGAAGCACCGGCUAACUCCGUGCCAGCAGCCGCGGUAAUACGGAGGGUGCGAGCGUUAAUCGGAAUUACUGGGCGUAAAGCGCGCGUAGGCGGUCUGAUAAGCCGGUUGUGAAAGCCCCGGGCUCAACCUGGGAACGGCAUCCGGAACUGUCAGGCUAGAGUGCAGGAGAGGAAGGUAGAAUUCCCGGUGUAGCGGUGAAAUGCGUAGAGAUCGGGAGGAAUACCAGUGGCGAAGGCGGCCUUCUGGACUGACACUGACGCUGAGGUGCGAAAGCGUGGGUAGCAAACAGGAUUAGAUACCCGUGUAGUC
rnacentral:rRNA from 1 species